GAUGAACGCUGGCGGCGUGCCUAAUACAUGCAAGUCGAGCGAACAGACGAGGAGCUUGCUCCUCUGACGUUAGCGGCGGACGGGUGAGUAACACGUGGAUAACCUACCUAUAAGACUGGGAUAACUUCGGGAAACCGGAGCUAAUACCGGAUAAUAUAUUGAACCGCAUGGUUCAAUAGUGAAAGACGGUUUUGCUGUCACUUAUAGAUGGAUCCGCGCCGCAUUAGCUAGUUGGUAAGGUAACGGCUUACCAAGGCAACGAUGCGUAGCCGACCUGAGAGGGUGAUCGGCCACACUGGAACUGAGACACGGUCCAGACUCCUACGGGAGGCAGCAGUAGGGAAUCUUCCGCAAUGGGCGAAAGCCAGACGGAGCAACGCCGCGUGAGUGAUGAAGGUCUUCGGAUCGUAAAACUCUGUUAUUAGGGAAGAACAAAUGUGUAAGUAACUAUGCACGUCUUGACGGUACCUAAUCAGAAGGCCACGGCUAACUACGUG
rnacentral:rRNA from 1 species